rnacentral:rRNA from 1 species
GACGAACGCUGGCGGCGUGCUUAACACAUGCAAGUCGAACGGAAAGGCCCUGCUUUUGUUGGGUGCUCGAGUGGCGAACGGGUGAGUAACACGUGAGUAACCUGCCCUUGACUUUCGGAUAACUUCAGGAAACUGGGGCUAAUACCGCAUAUGAGCUCCUGCUGCGCGGGGGGGGUUGGAAAGUUUCGGCGGUUGUGGAUGGAGUCGCGGCUUAUCAGCUUGUUUGUCGGGUUGUGGCUUACCAAGGCUUUGACGGGUAGCCGGCCUGGGAGGGUGACCGGCGACAUUGGGACUGAGAUACGGCCCAGAAUCAUACGGGAGGCAGGAGUGGGGAGUAUUGCACAGUGGGCGGGAGCCUGAUGCAGCAACGCCGCGUGCGGGAUGACGGCCUUCGGGUUGUAAACAGCUUUCGACUGUGACGAAGCGUGAGUGACGGUAAUGGGUAAAGAAGCACCGGCUAACUACGUG